rnacentral:rRNA from 1 species
GACGAACGCUGGCGGCGUGCCUAAUACAUGCAAGUAGAACGCUGAAGGAGGAGCUUGCUCUUCUGGAUGAGUUGCGAACGGGUGAGUAACGCGUAGGUAACCUGCCUGGUAGCGGGGGAUAACUAUUGGAAACGAUAGCUAAUACCGCAUAAGAGUAGAUGUUGCAUGACAUUUACUUAAAAGGUGCAAUUGCAUCACUACCAGAUGGACCUGCGUUGUUUUAGCUAGUUGGUGGGGUAACGGCUUACCAAGGCGACGAUACAUAGCCGACCUGAGAGGGUGAUCGGCCACACUGGGACUGGGACACGGCCCAGACUCCUACGGGAGGCAGCAGUAGGGAAUCUUCGGCAAUAGACGGAAGUCUGACCGAGCAACGCCGCGUGAGUGAAGAAGGUUUUCGGAUCGUAAAGAUCUGUUGUAAGAGAAGAACGAGUGUGAGAGUGGAAAGUUCACACUGUGACGGUAUCUUACCAGAAAGGGACGGCUAACUACGUG